UGCGGUCGGAAAGGCGCUCUAUACGUAGCUCUUUCGACGAGUCGAGUUGUUUGGGAAUGCAGCUCUAAAUGGGAGGUAAAUUUCUUCUAAAGCUAAAUAUUGGCCAGAGACCGAUAGCGCACAAGUAGAGUGAUCGAAAGAUGAAAAGCACUUUGGAAAGAGAGUUAAAAAGCACGUGAAAUUGUUAAAAGGGAAGGGAUUGCAACCAGACUUGCUCGCGGUGUUCCGCCGGUCUUCUGACCGGUCUACUCGCCGCGUUGCAGGCCAGCAUCGUCUGGUGCCGCUGGAUAAGACUUGAGGAAUGUAGCUCCCUCGGGAGUGUUAUAGCCUCUUGUGAUGCAGCGAGCGCCGGGCGAGGUCCGCGGAUGCUG
rnacentral:rRNA from 1 species